UUAGGGUUUAGGGUUAAUUUUUUUAGGGUUUAGGGUUUAGGGUUAAUUUUUUUAGGGUUUAGGGUUUAGAGUUUACUUUUUAGGGUUUAGGGUUUAGUGUUGAUAGUUUAGGGUUUAGUGUUGAUGGUUUAGGGUUUAGAGUUGAAGUUUAGGGUUUAGAGUUGAAGGUUUAGGGUUUAGGGUUUAGAGUUGAUGGUUUAGGGUUUAGAGUUGAAGUUUAGGGUUUAGGGUUUAGAGUUGAUGUUUCGGAGUUUAGGGUUUAGAGUUGAUGUUUCAGGGUUUAGGGUUCG
rnacentral:lncRNA from 1 species